rnacentral:rRNA from 1 species
UCUUUAUGGGGUGACUGCGUACCUUUUGUAUAAUGGGUCAGCGACUUAUAUUCUGUAGCAAGGUUAACCGAAUAGGGGAGCCGAAGGGAAACCGAGUCUUAACUGGGCGUUAAGUUGCAGGGUAUAGACCCGAAACCCGGUGAUCUAGCCAUGGGCAGGUUGAAGGUUGGGUAACACUAACUGGAGGACCGAACCGACUAAUGUUGAAAAAUUAGCGGAUGACUUGUGGCUGGGGGUGAAAGGCCAAUCAAACCGGGAGAUAGCUGGUUCUCCCCGAAAGCUAUUUAGGUAGCGCCUCGUGAAUUCAUCUCCGGGGGUAGAGCACUGUUUCGGCAAGGGGGUCAUCCCGACUUACCAACCCGAUGCAAACUGCGAAUACCGGAGAAUGUUAUCACGGGAGACACACGGCGGGUGCUAACGUCCGUCGUGAAGAGGGAAACAACCCAGACCGCCAGCUAAGGUCCCAAAGUCAUGGUUAAGUGGGAAACGAUGUGGGAAGGCCCAGACAGCCAGGAUGUUGGCUUAGAAGCAGCCAUCAUUUAAAGAAAGCGUAAUAGCUCACUGGUCGAGUCGGCCUGCGCGGAAGAUGUAACGGGGCUAAACCAUGCACCGAAGCUGCGGCAGCGACGCUGAUGCGUUGUUGGGUAGGGGAGCGUUCUGUAAGCCUGCGAAGGUGUGCUGUGAGGCAUGCUGGAGGUAUCAGAAGUGCGAAUGCUGACAUAAGUAACGAUAAAGCGGGUGAAAAGCCCGCUCGCCGGAAGACCAAGGGUUCCUGUCCAACGUUAAUCGGGGCAGGGUGAGUCGACCCCUAAGGCGAGGCCGAAAGGCGUAGUCGAUGGGAAACAGGUUAAUAUUCCUGUACUUGGUGUUACUGCGAAGGGGGGACGGAGAAGGCUAUGUUGGCCGGGCGACGGUUGUCCCGGUUUAAGCGUGUAGGCUGGUUUUCCAGGCAAAUCCGGAAAAUCAAGGCUGAGGCGUGAUGACGAGGCACUACGGUGCUGAAGCAACAAAUGCCCUGCUUCCAGGAAAAGCCUCUAAGCAUCAGGUAACAUCAAAUCGUACCCCAAACCGACACAGGUGGUCAGGUAGAGAAUACCAAGGCGCUUGAGAGAACUCGGGUGAAGGAACUAGGCAAAAUGGUGCCGUAACUUCGGGAGAAGGCACGCUGAUAUGUAGGUGAAGCGACUUGCUCGUGGAGCUGAAAUCAGUCGAAGAUACCAGCUGGCUGCAACUGUUUAUUAAAAACACAGCACUGUGCAAACACGAAAGUGGACGUAUACGGUGUGACGCCUGCCCGGUGCCGGAAGGUUAAUUGAUGGGGUCAGCGCAAGCGAAGCUCUUGAUCGAAGCCCCGGUAAACGGCGGCCGUAACUAUAACGGUCCUAAGGUAGCGAAAUUCCUUGUCGGGUAAGUUCCGACCUGCACGAAUGGCGUAAUGAUGGCCAGGCUGUCUCCACCCGAGACUCAGUGAAAUUGAACUCGCUGUGAAGAUGCAGUGUACCCGCGGCAAGACGGAAAGACCCCGUGAACCUUUACUAUAGCUUGACACUGAACAUUGAGCCUUGAUG